GAGCGGCUUGCUUCAGCCAAAACAAGAGGGCUCCCGGUAGGAAGCCCUCACGCUCGACAAGCUGGGGGUCACUGGUUCGAGCCCAGUACCGCCCA
rnacentral:tRNA from 1 species